rnacentral:ncRNA from 1 species
AUAAAUACGAUGAAGAGGAAGAGUAGGAGCUUUUUAACAUGCAGAGAGCCGCUGGGUGGUGAGAAGCGGUUGGGCGAAAGCUUUGAACUGGCCUUGAAGUAGCACGCUGAAAGAAUUGUCAAGUAGGCGGAGCCGGAGCCCGACCGUUACAGCGGGAGGAUAUAAGCCGGAGUAUCGGUCGUAUCUGCAAUGAGGGCACGCCGUAAGGCGUGAAAUUAGAGUGGUACCGCGUGAGACUUUUGAAAGUCUUUCGUCUCUAUU